GCUGGUUCUCCCCGAAAGCUAUUUAGGUAGCGCCUCGUGAAUUCAUCUUCGGGGGUAGAGCACUGUUUCGGCUAGGGGGUCAUCCCGACUUACCAACCCGAUGCAAACUACGAAUACCGAAGAAUGUUAUCACGGGAGACACACGGCGGGUGCUAACGUCCGUCGUGAAGAGGGAAACAACCCAGACCGCCAGCUAAGGUCCCAAAGUCAUGGUUAAGUGGGAAACGAUGUGGGAAGGCACAGACAGCCAGGAUGUUGGCUUAGAAGCAGCCAUCAUUUAAAGAAAGCGUAAUAGCUCACUGGUCGAGUCGGCCUGCGCGGAAGAUGUAACGGGGCUAAACCAUGCACCGAAGCUGCGGCAGCGACACUAUGUGUUGUUGGGUAGGGGAGCGUUCUGUAAGCCUGCGAAGGUGUGCUGUGAGGCAUGCUGGAGGUAUCAGAAGUGCGAAUGCUGACAUAAGUAACGAUAAAGCGGGUGAAAAGCCCGCUCGCCGGAAGACCAAGGGUUCCUGUCCAACGUUAAUCGGGGCAGGGUGAGUCGACCCCUAAGGCGAGGCCGAAAGGCGUAGUCGAUGGGAAACAGGUUAAUAUUCCUGUACUUGGUGUUACUGCGAAGGGGGGACGGAGAAGGCUAUGUUAGCCGGGCGACGGUUGUC
rnacentral:rRNA from 1 species